CCUUGGGCGGUGGGUGCUCCAGUUUAGCUGUAUCUUCAGCUCUAGCCUCUGUAGCUCCACGCCCCUUUACACACUUGUAGCUUGGUUCUCUUACCUCUGACAACAUCACUUCCUUCCUCGUCUCAACUCAGUUCCAACGGCUGAGACAACCUUCCCUUUUACAGAUGAGGAAACUGAGACCUGCGACAUCAUCUGAUCUGAGUGACUGAUUUUGCUCAGACCGCCCUUAAAACCCUACCCAGCCUCACUUAUUCAGCUUCGGGAGACUACAGAGCACCCGAGAGUCCGCGCUGAAAUACAUGACUGAGAAAAUAAACAGUAAAGGAGACAGCUCUCCCUUACAGAAGAGUUCCCGCUAAUACAUGCAGAAGGAAUGGAGAAACCGAAUAGCACCGUCUGAGCACUCCAGUAAUAACCGCUGCAGGCGAGCGGCAGCAAUGGGAGGCCGCAGCUGACAGGCAGAAGUUGGAGAGAAAUGGGGUGUUUGCACAGCCUCAAAGUAUGUCCUCCAAGAAAGGCUUUUAAAAUUAUAAAUGGAAAAGCAGCACGUUCACUAUGGAGGAAGCCCACAGAGACCCCCCCUCCCCCGUAACCGAGAGACCAAGACUAACGCCACCAGUGCCAAGACAUACUGACAUCACGCAGCCCCAGUACGACAUGCUGAAAAGGACGAGCGACUCUGUUCUUCUUUAAAAUGUAACCCCGCAGUCUAAUCCCGAAGGAUCUUCAGAGGGAGAAGAGGGGGAGGGGCACUGAACAAAACGGCUGAGGAAUAGUUUUUCUGUUUUAUUUUUUUCUUAGUUGAUGAUAAUAUUAUUGAGUUAUAACCAAUGAUGGGUUUUGCUAUGUAGCCCAGGUUGGCCUCCAAGUCCCUGUCCUCCUGCCUUACCCUGUCAAAUGUGGGGACUGUAGGUGUAAGUCACCACACCUAGCUUGGGCUACUACUUUUUUUUUUUAAGUGUUAAAACAGGGGCUGGAGAGAUGGCUCAGUGGUUUAGUCUUUCAGAGGACGUGGAUUCAGUUCCCAACACCCGCACGGUAGCUCACGACCACUCAUGACUCCAUUUCUCGGGAAUCCCAUGCCCUCCCCUGAUCUCCACAGGUACCAAGAAUACACACAGAGCACAUACAUACAUGCAAGUAAAAACCUCCACACACACCAGUUUUUUUAAGUGUUAAGGAAGGAUAGGCUGGAGAGAUGGCUCAGUGGUUAAGAACACUGGCUGCCCUUCCAGAGGUCCUGAGUUCAAUUCCCAGCAACCACAUGGCGGCUCACACCUGUCUACGCUGGGAUCUGAUGCCCUCACAUAGGCAAGACACCUGUGAACUUGAAGUAAAAAUAAGUACAUUUAAAAAAAUAAGGAAGGGGGUUGGGGAUUUAGCUCAGUGGUAGAGCGCUUGCCUAGGAAGCGCAAGGCCCUGGGUUCGGUCCCCAGCUCCGGAAAAAAAAGAACCAAAAAAAAAAAAAAAGAAGAA